rnacentral:rRNA from 1 species
AACCUCCGCAAUGUGAGAAAUCGCGACGGGGGGACCCCAAGUGCCAUUCUUAACGGGAUGGCUUUUCAUUAGUGUAAAGAGCUUUUGGAAUAAGAGCUGGGCAAGACCGGUGCCAGCCGCCGCGGUAACACCGGCAGCUCUAGUGGUAGCAAUUUUUAUUGGGCCUAAAGCGUCCGUAGCCGGUUUAAUAAGUCUCUGGUGAAAUCCUGUAGCUUAACUGUGGGAAUUGCUGGAGAUACUAUUAGACUUGAGACCGGGAGAGGUUAGAGGUACUCCCAGGGUAGAGGUGAAAUUCUGUAAUCCUGGGAGGACCGCCUGUUGCGAAGGCGUCUAACUGGAACGGUUCUGACGGUGAGGGACGAAAGUUAGGGGCGCGAACCGGAUUAGAUACCCGGGUAGUCCUAACUGUAAACGAUGCGGACUUGGUGUUGGGGUGGCUUUGAGCUGUCUCAGUGCCGAAGGAGCUGUUAAGUCCGCCGCCUGGGAAGUACGGUCGCAAGACUGAAACUUAAAGGAAUU